rnacentral:rRNA from 1 species
UACGAAGGGGGGCUAGCGUUGCUCGGAAUCACUGGGCGUAAAGGGUGCGUAGGCGGGUCUUUUAAGUCAGGGGUGAAAUCCUGGAGCUCAACUCCAGAACUGCCUUUGAUACUGAAGAUCUUGAGUUCGGGAGAGGUGAGUGGAACUGCGAGUGUAGAGGUGAAAUUCGUAGAUAUUUCGCAAGAACACCAGUGGCGAAGGCGGCUCACUGGCCCGAUACUGACGCUGAGGCACGAAAGCGUGGGGAGCAAACAGG